rnacentral:rRNA from 1 species
GAUGAACGCUGGCGGCGUGCUUAACACAUGCAAGUCGAACGAAGCUGCCUAAAGGAAGUUUUCGGAUGGAAUUUAGGUAGACUUAGUGGCGGACGGGUGAGUAACGCGUGGAUAACCUGCCUUAUACAGGGGGAUAACGGAGAGAAAUUUCCGCUAACACCGCAUAAGACCACAGCACCGCAUGGUGCAGGGGUAAAAUAUUUAUAGGUAUAAGAUGGAUCCGCGUCCGAUUAGCUAGUUGGUGAGGUAGAGGCUCACCAAGGCGACGAUCGGUAGCCGGCCUGAGAGGGUGAACGGCCACAUUGGGACUGAGACACGGCCCAAACUCCUACGGGAGGCAGCAGUGGGGAAUAUUGGACAAUGGGGGAAACCCUGAUCCAGCGACGCCGCGUGAGUGAAGAAGUAUUUCGGUAUGUAAAGCUCUAUCAGCAUGGGAAGAAA